rnacentral:rRNA from 1 species
UUGAAACUUUUCGACUGGAGUUUGGGAGGGGCAACCGGAAUUCCUGGUGUAACGGUGAAAUGUGUAGAUAUCAGGAGGAACACCCGUGGCGAAGGCGGGUUGCUGGACCAAAACUGACGCUGAGACGCGAAAGCGUGGGUAGCAAACAGGAUUAGAUACCCUGGUAGUCCACGCUGUAAACGAUGAGUGCUAGGUGUAGGGGGUAUCGACUCCUUCUGUGCCGCAGCUAACGCAUUAAGCACUCCGCCUGGGGAUUACGGCCGCAAGGUUAAAACUCAAAGGAAUUGACGGGGACCCGCACAAGCGGUGGAGCAUGUGGCUUAAUUCGAUGCAACGCGAAGAACCUUACCUGGACUUGACAUGCCAGUGGUAGAACCCUGAAAGGGGGACGACCGUCGCAAGACGGAGCUGGCACAGGUGCUGCAUGGCUGUCGUCAGCUCGUGCCGUGAGGUGUUGGGUUAAGUCCCGCAACGAGCGCAAC